UACGUAGGGUGCAAGCGUUAAUCGGAAUUACUGGGCGUAAAGCGUGCGCAGGCGGUUUUGUAAGUCUGUCGUGAAAGCCCCGGGCUCAACGUGGGAAUUGCGUUGGAGACUGCAAGGCUAGAAUCUGGCAGAGGGGGGUAGAAUUCCACGUGUAGCAGUGAAAUGCGUAGAGAUGUGGAGGAACACCGAUGGCGAAGGCAGCCCCCUGGGUCAAGAUUGACGCUCAUGCACGAAAGCGUGGGGAGCAAACAGG
rnacentral:rRNA from 1 species